rnacentral:rRNA from 1 species
CCUACGGGAGGCAGCAGUGAGGAAUAUUGGUCAAUGGCCGGGAGGCUGAACCAGCCAAGUCGCGUGAGGGAAGACGGCCCUACGGGUUGUAAACCUCUUUUGUCAGGGAGCAAGGUGCAGGUCGGGACCUGCUGUGAGAGUACCUGAAGAAAAAGCAUCGGCUAACUCCGUGCCAGCAGCCGCGGUAAUACGGAGGAUGAGAGCGUUAUCCGGAUUUAUUGGGUUUAAAGGGUGCGCAGGCGGAGGCACAAGUCAGCGGUAAAAUCGCGGGGCUCAACCCCGCUCCGCCGUUGAAACUGUGUGCCUUGAGUGCGCGAAGGGUAGGCGGAAUGCGUGGUGUAGCGGUGAAAUGCAUAGAUAUCACGAAGAACUCCGAUCGCGAAGGCUGCCUACCGGCGCGCAACUGACGCUCAUGCACGAAAGCGUGGGUAUCGAACAGGAUUAGAUACCCCAGUAGUC